UACGGGGGGGGCAAGCGUUGUUCGGAAUUACUGGGCGUAAAGGGCGCGUAGGCGGCCUUCUAAGUCGGACGUGAAAUCCCUCGGCUUAACCGAGGAACUGCGUCCGAUACUGAAAGGCUUGAAUCCGGGAGAGGGAUGUGGAAUUCCAGGUGUAGCGGUGAAAUGCGUAGAUAUCUGGAGGAACACCGGUGGCGAAGGCGGCAUCCUGGACCGGUAUUGACGCUGAGGCGCGAAAGCUAGGGGAGCGAACGGGAGU
rnacentral:rRNA from 1 species